AGCGGCCAUAUCAUGCUGAAUAUACCGGUACUAAUUAGAUCACCGAAGUCAAGCAUCAUUGGGCCCGGUCAGUACUUGGUGACUACCUGGGAACACCGCGUGCUGUUG